AUGAACGCUGGCGGCGUGCCUAACACAUGCAAGUCGAGCGAUUCUCUUCGGAGAAGAGCGGCGGACGGGUGAGUAACGCGUGGGUAACCUGCCCUGUACACACGGAUAACAUACCGAAAGGUAUGCUAAUACGGGAUAAUAUAAGAAAUUCGCAUGUUUUUCUUAUCAAAGCUCCGGCGGUACAGGAUGGACCCGCGUCUGAUUAGCUAGUUGGUGAGGUAACGGCUCACCAAGGCGACGAUCAGUAGCCGACCUGAGAGGGUGAUCGGCCACAUUGGAACUGAGACACGGUCCAAACUCCUACGGGAGGCAGCAGUGGGGAAUAUUGCACAAUGGGCGAAAGCCUGAUGCAGCAACGCCGCGUGAGCGAUGAAGGCCUUCGGGUCGUAAAGCUCUGUCCUCAAGGAAGAUAAUGACGGUACUUGAGGAGGAAGCCCCGGCUAACUACGUGCCAGCAGCCGCGGUAAUACGUAGGGGGCUAGCGUUAUCCGGAUUUACUGAGCGUAAAGGGUGCGUAGGCGGUCUUUUAAGUCAGGAGUGAAAGGCUACGGCUCAACCGUAGUAAGCUCUUGAAACUGGAGGACUUGAGUGCAGGAGAGGAGAGUGGAAUUCCUAGUGUAGCGGUGAAAUGCGUAGAUAUUAGGAGGAACACCAGUAGCGAAGGCGGCUCUCUGGACUGUAACUGACGCUGAGGCACGAAAGCGUGGGGAGCAAACAGG
rnacentral:rRNA from 1 species